CCUACGGGAGGCAGCAGUGGGGAAUAUUGCACAAUGGGCGCAAGCCCGAUGCAGCCAUGCCGCGUGUGUGAAGAAGGCCUUCGGGUUGUAAAGCACUUUCAGCGGGGAGGAAGGCGGUGAGGUUAAUAACCUCAUCGAUUGACGUUACCCGCAGAAGAAGCACCGGCUAACUCCGUGCCAGCAGCCGCGGUAAUACGGAGGGUGCAAGCGUUAAUCGGAAUUACUGGGCGUAAAGCGCACGCAGGCGGUCUGUCAAGUCGGAUGUGAAAUCCCCGGGCUCAACCUGGGAACUGCAUUCGAAACUGGCAGGCUAGAGUCUUGUAGAGGGGGGUAGAAUUCCAGGUGUAGCGGUGAAAUGCGUAGAGAUCUGGGGGAAUACCGGUGGCGAAGGCGGCCCCCUGGACAAAGACUGACGCUCAGGUGCGAAAGCGUGGGGAGCAAACAGGAUUAGAUACCCGUGUAGUC
rnacentral:rRNA from 1 species